rnacentral:rRNA from 1 species
CCUACGGGAGGCAGCAGUGAGGAAUAUUGGUCAAUGGGCGCGAGCCUGAACCAGCCAAGUAGCGUGAAGGAUGACUGCCCUACGGGUUGUAAACUUCUUUUAUAAAGGAAUAAAGUGAGGCACGUGUGCCUUUUUGUAUGUACUUUAUGAAUAAGGAUCGGCUAACUCCGUGCCAGCAGCCGCGGUAAUACGGAGGAUCCGAGCGUUAUCCGGGUUUUUGGGGUGUAAAGGGAGCGUAGAUGGGUUGUUAAGGGAGUUGUGAAAGUUUGCGGCUCAACCGUAAAAUGGCAAUUGAUACUGGCAGUCUUGAGUACAGUUGAGGUAGGCGGAAUUCGUGGUGUAGCGGUGAAAUGCUUAGAUAUCACGAAGAACUCCGAUUGCGAAGGCAGCUUACUAAACUGCCACUGACAUUGAUGCUCGAAAGUGUGGGUAUCAAACAGGAUUAGAUACCCGUGUAGUC